rnacentral:rRNA from 1 species
UACGUAGGUGGCGAGCGUUAUCCGGAAUGAUUGGGCGUAAAGGGUGCGUAGGCGGCGUGCCAAGUCUGGAGUGAAAAGGAGGGGCUCAACCCCUGCUGGCUUUGGAAACUGGCAUGCUGGAGAGCAGGAGAGGGCGGUGGAACUCCAUGUGUAGCGGUAAAAUGCGUAGAUAUAUGGAAGAACACCAGUGGCGAAGGCGGCCGCCUGGCCUGCUGCUGACGCUGAGGCACGAAAGCGUGGGGAGCAAAUAG